rnacentral:ncRNA from 1 species
UAAAAAGCAUUGAGCAGGACACGAUUUCCAAUUCUCCACGUUUUCAGAGAGCUGCCGGGCGAUGAAAGACAGUAACGCCGAUGGAAAUUAUCCCCUGUGAGCUGAUCGGACAAACGCAUGCAGGAUACCAGUAGUCCGGUCCGGAUUCCUACCGUUAAAGAGGAACAUAUUCAGAAUGAUGGAUAUGGCUGAGAGAUCGGCUUUACAGCCGGUAAAAGAAGUGGUACCGCGGAUGCUUAUGCCUCCGUCUUCUUG